rnacentral:tRNA from 1 species
UGUAGCUCAGUGGAACAGCACCUGCCUGGCAAGCACAAAGCCCAGAGUUCAAUUCUUGGCA